rnacentral:rRNA from 1 species
UACAGAGGUCCCGAGCGUUGUUCGGAUUCAUUGGGCGUAAAGGGUGCGUAGGCGGGUCUUUAAGUCAGGGGUGAAAUCCUGGAGCUCAACUCCAGAACUGCCUUUGAUACUGAAGAUCUUGAGUUCGGGAGAGGUGAGUGGAACUGCGAGUGUAGAGGUGAAAUUCGUAGAUAUUCGCAAGAACACCAGUGGCGAAGGCGGCCUUCUGGACAGUGACUGACGCUGAGACACGAAAGCGUGGGGAGCAAACAGG